rnacentral:rRNA from 1 species
AACAAACGCUGGCGGCGUGCCUAAUACAUGCAAGUCGAACGGGGAAAGCUUUCGGGUGAGUACUAGUGGCGCACGGGUGAGGAACGCGUGGAUAAUCUGCCUUAGAGUGGGGGAUAACUAGUCGAAAGAUUAGCUAAUACCGCAUAAGACCACAGGAGCUGCGGCCAAAGGGGUCAACGGUUUUUCGCUCUAAGAUGAGUCCGCGUAAGAUUAGCUAGUUGGUGAGGUAACGGCUCACCAAGGCGACGAUCUUUAACUGGUCUGAGAGGAUGAUCAGUCACACUGGAACUGAGACACGGUCCAGACUCCUACGGGAGGCAGCAGUAGGGAAUAUUGCACAAUGGAGGAAACUCUGAUGCAGCGACGCCGCGUGAGUGAUGAAGGCCUUCGGGUCGUAAAGCUCUGUCGCAGGGGAAUAACACAAUGAAGGUACCCUGUAAGAAAGGAUCGGCUAACUUCGUGCCAGCCGCCGCCGUAAGAC